CUGUUGUGUGUUUUUCAUAGCAUCCUCCUGGACAGCUGAGAAGAAAGUACAGUUCCUGCUCCACUAUUUUCCUGGAUGACAGCACAGUCAGUCAACCAAACCUCAAGUAUACCAUCAAAUGUGUAGCUCUUGCAAUUUAUUACCACAUCAAAAACAGGGAUACAGACGGAAGAAUGCUCUUAGAUAUUUUUGAUGAAAACCUUCAUCCCCUUUCGAAAUCCGAAGUGCCACCAGAUUAUGACAAGCACGAUCCAGAGCAGAAACAGAUUUAUCGCUUCGUUCGGACGUUGUUCAGUGCUGCUCAACUGACUGCUGAAUGUGCCAUUGUCACCCUGGUGAGUGUCUGCGAGGUGACAUCAGCUAU